ACCAUCCUGAACACACCCAAUCUGAUUUGGAAAUUAAGGAGGGUCAGGCCUUUUAGUACUUGGAUGGGCAACCACCAUGGAAUAUGAGGGA
rnacentral:rRNA from 1 species